rnacentral:rRNA from 1 species
UGGGGGAUAUUGCACAAUGGGCGAAAGCCUGAUGCAGCGACGCCGCGUGGGGGAUGAAGGCUUUCGGGUUGUAAACCUCUUUCGCUAUCGAACAAGGCCCGCUUAGGGUGGGUUGAGGGUAGGUGGAGAAGAAGCGCCGGCUAACUACGUGCCAGCAGCCGCGGUAAUACGUAGGGCGCGAGCGUUGUCCGGAAUUAUUGGGCGUAAAGUGCUUGUAGGCGGCUUGUUGCGCCUGCUGUGAAAACGCGGGGCUUAACUUCGCGCGUGCAGUGGGUACGGGCAGGCUUGAGUGUGGUAGGGGUGACUGGAAUUCCAGGUGUAGCGGUGGAAUGCGCAGAUAUCUGGAGGAACACCGAUGGCGAAGGCAGGUCACUGGGCCAUUACUGACGCUGAGGAGCGAAAGCAUGGGUAGCGAACAGG